UGUCGUCGACCACAUACACAACUGAAUGUGAAGACAAUUAUCAAGGACACUUAUGUUUGCUCAAAGCACUUCAGAGAUGGGAAGCCAACUCUGGAAUAUCAGAUCCCAUCCGGGCUCUCGUGUGUGCUGCUCCGAAAAGACACAGACCCUCACCCAAAAGAAGCUGCAUGUCUUUUAUUUGAUCUCACUGAACAAAGUAAGAUAAGAUAUAAGAACAUGUGAACUGGUUCAGCUGAGGAGGCUGGAUAUGAAACAGAGGAGGAGCUGCAGUCAGGGGAGGGAAGUUGAAAGUGAAAGUAUGAAGUCAGACUUGUCAGACUGCCAGACUCCAUUUUACAGCUCGACACGAGGAGAACAGGAGUAACAUAACAUGUGACGCAGUCAGAAUGGAGAGCGGCCUGCAGUCUGACUGAUUUCAUGUAUUUCAACCAAGUUCAUUAUUAAGACUGGAGAAGAUGAGUGAUUUAAAAGAUGACGAAGAGGACAAAUCUCCAGUCCCCAGCUGUCUGUCUCUGAAGAGUGACCGGUCUAUGUGGGACCCUAUAACCUUCAGUAAUGAACCUGGACCCUCAGACACAAAACAGAGAGCAGGGUCUCCAGUCCCCAGCUGUCUGUCUCUGAAGAGUGACUGGUCUAUCGGUCUUCCUCCAGACUUCAGUGAUGAACCUGGACCCUCAGACACAAGACAGAGAGCAGAGUCUCCAGUCCCCAGCUGUCUGUCUCUGAAGAGUGACUGGUCUAUCGGUCUUCCUCCAGACUUCAGUAAUGAACCUGGACCCUCAGACACAAGAGGGAAGAGGAAGAGUGGUGUUCCUGUGGAGCAGCAGCUGUCCAGCUGUGCUCUGUGUCAGGACGUCCUGAAGGAUCCAGUCUCUACCAGCUGUGGACACUGGUUCUGCAGACAGUGCAUCACCUCAUACUGGGAGCAGAGACCUCCAUCAGGAGACCCCUCCUGUCCCCAGUGUGGAGAAAGACCCAGAACCAGAGCUGGCCUGCAGACAGCCAGUCAGACCAGCUCUGUACGAGCAGAACGUGGUCUGCAGGAGGUUCUAGAUGAACAUAGGCUCAGUCUGAGGAGGAGAUGUGAACGUGUGGCUGAAGGAACUGAUCAAAGUGAAACCCUCCUCAACAGCAUCUUCACUGAGCUCUACAUCACACAAGGCCAGAGUGAAGAGGUUAAUACUCAGCAUGAGGUGAGGCAGCUGGAGACAGCUUCCAAGAAAGAGACCCUCCAUGACACUCCAAUCAAGUGCCAGGACAUCUUUAAAGCCUUACCUGACCAGCAGACUCUCAUCAGAGCGGUCCUGACCAACGGAGUCGCUGGAGUUGGAAAAAGCUUCUCAGUGCAGAAGUUCACUCUGGACUGGGCCGAGGGUUUGGGGAACCAAGAUGUCAGUCUGGUGAUCCCGCUCUCCUUCAGGGAGCUGAACCUGAUCAAAGGAGAGCAGUACAGUCUUCUCAGGCUGCUCCAUGUUUUCCAUCCAACCUUACAGAAGGUCACAGCAGAGCAGCUGGCUGUCUGCAAAGUGCUGCUCAUCUUUGAUGGCCUGGAUGAAAGCAGACUUUCUCUGGACUUCAGAAACAAUGAGGUUGUGUCUGAUGUCUCUCAGCAGUCCUCAGUCAACGUGCUGCUGACAAACCUCAUCAGGGGGAAGCUGCUUCCCUCGGCUCUCGUCUGGAUAACUUCCAGACCUGCAGCGGCCAAUCAGAUCCCUCCUGAGUGUGUGGACAGGGUGACAGAAGUACGAGGCUUCACUGACGCCCAGAAGGAGGAGUACUUCAGGAGGAGAUCGAGUGAUGAAGACCUGUCCAGCAGAAUCAUCUCUCACAUCAAGAGCUCCAGGAGCCUCCACAUCAUGUGUCAGAUCCCAGUCUUCUGCUGGAUCACUGCUGCAGUUCUGGAGCACAUGUUGACUACAGACCAGAGAGGAGAGCUGCCCAAGACCCUCACUGACAUGUACUCUCACUUCCUGCUGGUCCAGACCAAGAGGAAGAAGCAGAAGUAUGAAGAGGUGAGUCCACAGCAGCUGACGGAGGCUGACAGGGAGCUUCUUCUGAAGCUGGGGAGGCUGGCGUUUGAACAUCUGGAGAAAGGAAACAUCAUGUUCUACCAAGAAGACCUGCAGCGCUGUGGUCUUGGUGUCACCGAGGCCUUGGUGCACUCAGGAGUUUGUACAGAGAUCUUCAAAAGAGAGAGUGUGAUCUUCCAGAAAACAGUCUACUGCUUUGUUCAUCUGAGCAUUCAGGAGUUCCUGGCUGCAGUCUACAUGUUCCACUGUUACACCAACAGAGACACAGCGGUACUGAAGGACUUCCUGCAGAGAGACUGGCCCUAUAAGAACAGUAACAGCAGAGAUCAGGAGUACCCAUUCCUGGAUGUCUUUCUAAAAGGAGCCAUGGAGAAAUCCCUCAGAAGUAGAAAUGGCCACCUGGACCUGUUUGUCCGCUUCCUCCACGGCCUCUCUCUGGAGUCCAACCAGAGACUGUUAGGAGGCCUGCUGGGUCGCACAGACAACCGUCCAGAAACCAUCCAGAGAGCCAUCAGCAACCUGAAGGAGAUGAGAGGUGAUGAAGUCUCUCCUGACAGGAGCAUCAACAUCUUCCACUGUCUGACAGAGAUGAAGGACCUCUCAGUAACUCAGGAGAUCACAGAGUUCCUGAAGUCAGGGAACAGAUCAGAGAAGGAACUCUCUGUGAUCCACUGCUCUGCUCUGGCCUACAUGCUGCAGAUGUCAGAGGAGGUUCUGGAUGAGUUGGACCUGAAUCAGUACAACACAUCAGAGGGGGGUAAACAUAGACUGAUUCCAGCUGUGAGGAACUGCAGGAAGGCCAAACUUGCUGGCUGUGGACUCUCAGAGGCUGAAUGUGAAGUCGUGGCCUCAGCUCUGAAGUCUGACUCCUCCCACCUGAGAGAUCUGGACCUGAGUCAGAACCCUCUGAAGGAUCCAGGAGUGGAGCGUCUGAGUUCUGGACUGAAGAGUCCAAACUGCAGACUGGAGGCUCUCAGACUGAGUGGCUGCAGGUUGUCAAAGAUCAGCUGUUCUGCUCUGAUCUCAGCUCUGAAGUCCAACCUCCAUCUGAGAGAUCUGGACCUGAGUCAGAACGCUCUGAAGGAUUCAGGAGAGCUGCUGAGAGAUCUUCUGGAGGGUCCAGACUGCAGACUGCAGACCCUCAGACUGUGGGGCUGCAGUUUGACAGAGAUCAGCUGUUCUGCUCUGGCCUCAGCUCUGAAGUCUGACUCCUCCCACCUGAGAGAUCUGGACCUGAGUCAGAACGCUCUGAAGGAUCCAGGAGUGGAGCUGCUGAGUUCUGGACUGCAGAGUCCAAACUGCAGACUGGAGGCUCUCAGACUGAGGAACUGCAGCUUGUCAGAGAUCAGCUGUUCUUCUCUGGCCUCAGCUCUGAAGUCCAACCUCCAUCUGAGAGAUCUGGACCUGAGUUGGAACAGAGAGGUGAAGGAUUCAGGAGAGCUGCUGAGAGAUCUUCUGGAGGGUCCAGACUGCAGACUGCAGACCCUCAGACUGUGGGGCUGCAGUUUGUCAGAGAUCAGCUGUUCUGCUCUGGCCUCAGCUCUGAAGUCCAACCUCCAUCUGAGAGAUCUGGACCUGAGAGACAACGAUCUGAAGGAUUCAGAGAAGCUGCUGAGAGAUCUUCUGGAGAGUCCAGACUGCAGACUGGAGACCCUCAGGAUCAGAGGACAGCCGUUCAGAGCCACGAUCCAGAAGACCUGUGAGUACUGAAACCAUGUCCUCCAUUCAUCCAGAUACUGAACUCUUUCAUGGAGCAUGAGCUCAGAGGAAAACAACACUCUUCAUCAUUCUGGCUGUUUCUCUUUGUUUCAUCAUCUUCAUCCUCUCUCUCUCCUUCUCCUCUCAGGUGACAGGAAGUGAAGACACACAGAAAGUUUAUUCAUCACGGGGCGAGUUCGAGACGUCCAGAGGAGCGUGGAGGCAUUUUGGAAAAUACAGAAGAAGACUGCAGCUGAUGAGAGACUUCCUGUUAGCUCUCCUCAAUAUGAAAUGAACAAAAACAAUCCAUUGUACUUAAAGCUUUUCUUAAAGAUGUGUUGCUCAUACACCUGCUGCUGCCUCCCACCACCUCCCACCCACCCCGGCACCAAAGAGGAGACUCCAUCGACCCCAGAUACCCCAACUCACUCUCCUUCAGGUCAGCUUGGAGCCCCGCCUUUACCUGCCCCAACAUCUCACUCUGAACGAUGAGGUCAUCCGGAUAUCUGCAUACUGAGAGUGGGACGCAGGACCCGGCCAAUGAGCUGCUGGAAGGGGGUCCACUGGACUGGAGGGGCUCUUGGAUCUGGUGAUGCCUUGCUCUUCCUGAAAGAGGACGACAAAGGAGGUGUAAAGCAGCUAAAGACUUAGUAAAGGGUUGUGGGUCAUGUGCAUUAGGCUAAUGCAAUGUGUCCGGCAGAGGGGACCUUAAGAUGGUCCAACAUGUGGCACUUGUAGAGUUCGGUUUCCCAAGCGGGUAGGAGGUUAGUUAGAGCCAUCUUAAGCAUUGCAUAGUGUUGGUGUCUCCAUAUGAAGUUGAAUAAUUAAAACGAAAGUUAAAGGUGGGGUAGGUCAUUUUGGAGAAACCAGCUCGAGUGCGCUAGAAUUUGAAAAUACACAACCGGAAACAAUCUGCCACUUCCUCACAGAGCCCCUCCCCCAACACACACAAACGCGCACAUGACCAAUGAGGGCACGAGAUAAGUGUGUGCCCCGAUGGAAGGCUGACAGGCAGGUAGGCCAUCCAGUUACUUUAGCCGGCUCAGAUGAUUGAUCGUGCUUUUUACAGCGCCACGGCUUCAACAGGUGAUGUUUCUUUAUGGAUUUGUUGUCAAAGCACUUCAGAUAUUCAUUGCUAUCGGGAUGUUAAGAGCAUUCCAUGGAAUAUAACAAAAAGUGUAUCUCGAGCCGGUUUCUCAAACUUACCCCACCUUUAAUAUAAUCAAACAUAAUCUUGUAUAACCCAAAAUGAAAAUAUUAUAUUUCAUGUUGUUCUAUAAUCACACUAUACCAUACUUUAUGGGUGUCACUGUUUAAAGGGGGGGGGACAGCUGUCUUCACUCACAGGCUGUACCCCCGACUCAAUGGAAAACUACUGGAGCCCCAAAAUGUGUUUCUACCAUAGGAGAAUAUGUCUGGAUGUCCAGUCCUGCACACCAGAGGUCAUGACCUUUCCCCACAGGGUAUAAAGGAGGUGUCUUUGGGUUUUCUUUGUGUUCCUAUGUGCAGCAUAAAAGCACUGGCUGAGAGGGAGAAAGCUCCAGAGCGGGGCUUCUCCUUGGAAGGUUCUCUCAACUUGGUAAGAUCUCUCAGAUUGAUUGGUGAAUUGUUGAAUGAAAGCUUUAAUGUGUUUUUAGCACCGACUAUUCAUGAGGAGGUCCUCUGGAUUCUGUCAGAUUACACUUUUAAUGUUUCAACUGAAGAGGGCAGCUGAAGUUAGAAUUUAGUGUAAGAAAUGUGAAACUGAAUUGAGGUUUUAUAUUAGAAAAGUACCACAGCAUGAUAUGUUUUGUAUGAUUGUCAUAUUGUAACGAGAGAAGGUAAAAACCUGUUUAAGUGUGGACCAUUUUCUUCAAAUAAAAUCAUCCCACCUUUUUGGAUUGGGAGAACUUUAAAUAAA